rnacentral:rRNA from 1 species
CACGUAGGCGGACCAGAAAGUUGGAGGUGAAAUCCCAGGGCUCAACCUUGGAACUGCCUUCAAAACUAUUGGUCUGGAGUUCGAGAGAGGUGAGUGGAAUUCCGAGUGUAGAGGUGAAAUUCGUAGAUAUUCGGAGGAACACCAGUGGCGAAGGCGGCUCACUGGCUCGAUACUGACGCUGAGGUGCGAAAGUGUGGGGAGCAAACA